GGGCGGGUAGCGUAGUGGUCAGCGCAUUCCCUGAGCGUUUCUCUUUCCUAAGCGGAUCUCAGCGUUGAUUUCUAAUUAUAGUAUAAGCGUUUAUUGAAAGGCCUGGGUUCGAACCCCAGCCCGCCCA
rnacentral:tRNA from 1 species